UAAUACGUAGGCAGCAAGCGUUGUUCGGAGUUACUGGGCGUAAAGAGUGCGUAGGCGGUUCUCUAAGUUUGGUGUGAAAUCUCCCGGCUCAACUGGGAGGGUGCGCCGAAGACUGGAAAGCUUGAGUGUGGGAGAGGUAAGCGGAAUUCCUGGUGUAGCGGUGAAAUGCGUAGAUAUCAGGAGGAACACCGGUGGUGUAGACGGCUUACUGGACCACUACUGACGCUGAGGCACGAAAGCGUGGGGAGCAAACAGGAUUAGAUACCCUGGUAGUCCACGCCCUAAACGAUGCACACUUGGUGUGAGCCAUUCAUUUGGUUCGUGCCGGAGCUAACGCGUUAAGUGUGCCGCCUGGGGAGUACGGUCGCAAGGCUG
rnacentral:rRNA from 1 species